rnacentral:lncRNA from 1 species
AUGAUGGAGGCAAACUGGCCACCCCUGUGCCAGGAGAAGUGCUGUCUAUUUUGUCUCAGUGAUUACAAAACUGACCUGACUAGUACAAAUUCAGCAGAUGUCAAAGAAAACCGGACUAGUGAAGUUUGAAGAUGUCAAAUACAUAGAAGAGAGAGUAGAAGAGUGACAACCAAGUGAUCAGGGAAGGCAAAAGUGGAGAGGUAAUUGUCAAGGGGUACAAAGCUUCAGGUGUGUAGGCUGCGUAAGUUCCAAAGUACUAAUAUAUAGCUUGUGGAGUGAAGUUAAUGAUACUGUGGUGU